rnacentral:lncRNA from 1 species
AAGGGCAGUGCGGCCCGCGAGGCGCGGAGCUGGCGGUCUGGGCGGUGCUACUGUUGUGGGUCUGGCCGCCAGGGGGUCGAUGCUGGCUUCUCAGACAGGGCGGCCUGCCGCCUGCUGCGUGGGCACUUUCAGAGGGAUGGCGUCAGCUGAAGGACUGAAGCCGAAAAUCCUUCUGGAGUGGACUUUGUAAAUCAGGAGCCUCAGCUUCCGGUUAAUAUUAACCCCCAAGCCUCUUAACCUGUACAUGGAACAGAAAUCUUGGUCGUUUGCUCAGUAAGAUCUUAUUUAUGGCACCAGAUGAGAUGCUCUUCAGGAGGGAGCACAGGACACGCGUCCUCAGGAGUCAGGACGCGGCCCACACCGUCCUCACCAGCUGUGUGCUGCGGCUCACAGUUCCCAUCCAUACUGAGAGUGAGGGCACUGCAGUGCCUCGUUCCCAAAUGGAGCAGCUUUAUCCCGGGAGCUUGUUCAGCUCCGAAGGUAAUUCUAUUGGUUUAAAGCACUCUUACUCUCGUAAGGUUUAUGCAUUUCUGAAGACCCCCCCUUUUGCAUUCACUCCUUUUUCUAGCCUAAACUCACCAGGUAAUUUUUUCUGCAUUUUAUGCCUUGACUCAACUUCGUCAUUGAGGUCAUGUGCAAAAGGACAGUAUUCACUUUUGACACCUUUCCUUUAUUCUCUGCCAGCAUUCUUUUGGAGAAUUUUUUAGCUAUGUAAUUAGCUCUUUUAUGUUUAUGUAUGUGUUUGUUUUGACCUUCGCACUGCUACUUACCUAAUAUUUACAGUGUUCCACUUAAAUUUCUCUACCACUUCUGUUUCUUAUGAACAGAGUUACUAGAGAUUACAUGGGAAUUUGAUUGCAGUCUACCAAAAAGAAGAUUUAAACAUUAGUUUGGGAUCACUGUACUUUAUCUUUUGGGACUAGAAUUUUAAGCUGAGGAAGUCAGAAACUGGGCAGAUGCUUUGCUUUUAGCCAAAUUAGAUUUCCUGUAAAUACUUCUAAUCUUCCCUAGAUACUCUGAUUUUAGUGAAAUGCUAUUACAUGCUCAAUGGCCGAUCAAUAUAAGCUUUAAUAAUAGUUAAGAGAAAGGGUAAUUACAGGCUGAUAUUGUAAGCUAAAGUUUCCGUUUAAAGUUGCAGGAAAAUGGAAGGUCCACUUUCUUUAUUCUGUUUCUCUUUAUGCCCCUGCCAAAGUAAUAGCAAUUUAAAUUGUACCAGAGUAAGGAUGCUAGAGUUAGUUUCAUGAAAUCCUGAAAGGACUAUUCACCCAAUAUUUGGCCCAUUUUUAAGGUCCUUCUUUCACUACCUACGUCCCAGGAGGACAGAGCAAUUAAAAGUGAAAGCUUCUGGAGCGGCACUCACAAUGCUAUCCAGGCAGAAGCACCAGGAGCUGGGUGUCACACAGGAGGUCGCAGAUCAGAGAUCCUGAGUGCAGACCCCAGCUGUUAAACCCUGGAAAAUGGGUAGACUCAGAAAUGGGAUUUGGAACUCACUUUCCUGUUCACCUCUGCCUGCAGUGAUGCUUGUCUAAGGCAGAGAAAGGGUUGACUGUAGAAAUAGUCCUGAAAUCAAAGUUCCAGCCUGGAAAUUUUACUUCUAUGAGUUUUGAAAUCAAAGACAUAGAAAGAGAAAGCAGGAAAACUAUAAGACACAUCAUGGACCUUCUCAUGCUCCUUUUUAAAAACUGUUUUAUGAAAUUUUAAUACCAUACCUAAUCUAGCUUCCCUUCUAAUUCUUCUGAGUUCCCAGCCAUGACGCUGGCUCUUGUCUGCUGCUCUUCUCCUCUUUGCUCCUCCCUAGGACAACCGUGGGCUCAGUUUCCCACCAGGGUAAACCUUUCAGUGGUCACCAAAUCCUACUAGUUCGUAUUGCGUGACGACCUCGCGAAUCGAGCACCGCCUAGCUCACAAAGUGAAAGCGUUUCUUCUCCCGGGAGAAUGGUGCAGCCGCACGGCCUUGACCUCGUGUCAGGUGAGAGGUCACUCACAAGGCCAAGGGGAGGACUCCUGCCACGGUUAAUCCCAGAGUGUUAGGAGCCUCAAGAGCAAAAAUGAAGAGCUGUGUGAUGGCCACCCGCGGCCCCAGCCGCCAGCAGGUGCACUGCAAAGCAUCUUCCUGUGCUGAGUAUUUGCUGUCUUUUAUCUUAACCCACGCAACAAAUGGCCGAAAAUAACUCAAGUACGCUGCAGAAGGCGCGCGCUAAGAAAGCUAACCCUGCCAGCAGCAUUGCUCCGUUGGAUCUCAGAGCGAGCGUCUCUCCUUUAAGCACGUGUGCGCAAGGCUACACAUGUGUCUGUUAGUAAAGGGGUUCAUGUUAUUUUGACUGAGUCACUACGUGAAGUUGAAACUAAUCAACCACCUCACACUAAUUUUCUUUCAUCGGGUAGCCAAGAUAUUCUGUUCUCAUUAUGGAUCAGUGGAAUUUUCCCUAAUUAUAAAAUUUAAAGUGAUUGUCGCCUUGUCCUAUAGUUUUCUACAAUCUGAUGUUUUUAAAAGCUUGUUUAGAAAAAGUUGUAUUUCAAGACCGUUUUAAAUAUAUGCACUGAUUAAAACAUUUGCAAAGACUGUCUAGUCAAGUAGUUUUCGUUUGACUUUCUCUAGAGCAAAAAUUUCAGAGUUUGUGCCUUUAACUCAGGACCGGACUAAAUUUAAUAUUGAAUUAACAGGUCAUUUGUUAUUUAAUGAUGUAAAGUUCCAGUAAAAAUCACGGCUUACGGUACCUUAAAAUAUACUUAACACAACAUUUUGAAAGGUAGAGCUCUUAUUUUCCUUCAUGGGCACUUACAAAUUAUAGUUGAAUGAGUGCGUGAAUAUAAAUAGGCCUUUUCUCCUGACGAGAGGCGUUACCCUCGACCUGGACCCCUUCCUGCUCAAGUAAUUACCCCAAGCCUUUUAAAAUGAUCCUGAAGUUCUAAUUAGACACAAUCUUCUUUGCUUCCUAUUGUAAACUGCUGCCUUGAGUGCUGGUCUGAGGUGGGUUUCAAAGCCAUUGCCCUUCCCCCAGCAUCCUGAAGGUGCUGUGACUGCUAAUUACUACCCCCAAUACUUCAGCACCGCAGGGUCUGAAAGGGGGCCACGGAAUUGCAGCGUCUUACUGUCUUCUCCACCACUUCCCAAGGCCUGUGCAGCUUGGCGAAGUAAAGCCGAGAAGGGAAAGUCGACAUGUCUGGACAGCCACGGUGCAUAUCGCCGUACUACUGCGGGUCCCCCCGCCCCCGAAUAUUGCUCUAGGUCCUACUGGGCCAGGAAGGAGGGAGCUUGGAGCCAGAUGCUGAAUCAGUUUGCAAGUGUGAAUGAUUAUGUUAUUAACAGUUUACUGGAGAAGGACAGCACCUGCAACUGUGAAUCAUCUUAAUCAACUUAAUAGACUGUUUUAAAAUCGGUGCAAUGAAAGGAACACCAAGCCCGACAGAAUGUGCCCGAAAUGAAACAGUGUGGAACAGAAUCGUGAAAUGUGCAUGUUCACAAACUGACGGUGAAUUCUCUACAAUGCUUUCUCGUGGCAGCUAUUCGAACAUAAGCUACGAUGUCCUGGAAUAUCCUCUGAACAUUCCUGGGAAUAUACACAAUCAGCAUGCAAUUCCUAUGUUGAUGCUACUUUAGGUGCGUGUGAUAUGUACAGAAAAUGUGAACGUAUCUUAGGCAAUUACUUUAAAAUACUAACAGGGAUUCCAUGUUCUUUAUGUAUGUUUAUAUAGACCUGUCAUAACUUUGUUCCCAUACUUACCACCUUGACCCUCAACUGCAGGCCACACCUGAGCUGUCCGAAGCCCAUUCACCCCGUGGCCUCCGGCCGGCUCGGAAGCUCUCUCCCUGGGUGCUGUGUGAGAGACAGCCCUGUUGUUCCUCAGCUCACUGACCCCGUGGCCAGCAGGUCUCAUACUUGACCACAGUGAGAUGAAGCGACCAUCGCAGAGCUGUGUAAGCCGGCUUCCUCCUUUACCUGUGCCUCCUCCAAACUAACACAGCCAGCACCUCUUACAGGAAGCCUCAAAGGUAAUUUUCAUGCACAGAUCCUCUUCCUCCCUGCGCUGUUCCCUCUCUCCCUCUUCUGCCUUGGGAUUUCCCACCCACUCCCAUAACCUAGCUCGGACUGUACAUGAUACUUUUCUUCCACUUAAUGGGUUUUGAUUUCACUUCCUUGUUUAUCUCACUUGAUAUGCACACACUUUCCUUUUGAUCAGGGAUUCUCCCAGCAAGUGGCUUUGUAGGAAUUAACCGGAUACAGUUAGCAAGAGUCACAAGGUCACUGCCAAGUUAGCUGAGGGUCCCAUGAGAGGCAUACCUGGUUACAGGUGUGACAUUACGGCUCUAGAUCAAGAAGCGAAACUUAAAGGGUGUACUGCAAAGGUCCUCAACCAAAUCCCUUAAAUUUUUGCCCAGGGCAGGGCAGAUCUUUUGGCCACUCUCAGGACAGUGAAUGAAAGACCAAAUCCAAUGGAAACUGUCCCAAUGAGAAUCACCAC